GAAAUGCGAUAAGUAAUGUGAAUUGCAGAAUUCAGUGAAUCAUCGAAUCUUUGAACGCACAUUGCGCCCAUUAGUAUUCUAGUGGGCAUGCCUGUUCGAGCGUCAUUUCAACCCCUAAGCACAGCUUAUUGUUGGGCCUCUACGUCUGUAGUGCCUCAAAGACAUUGGCGGAGCGGCAGUAGUCCUCUGAGCGUAGUAAUUCUUUAUCUCGCUUUUGUUAGGUGCUGCCCCCCGGCCGUAAAACCCCCAAUUUUUUUCUGGUUGACCUCGGAUCAGGUAGGAAUACCCGCUGAACUUAAGC
rnacentral:misc_RNA from 1 species